GGGGAUUUAGCUCAGUGGUAGAGCGCUUGCCUAGCAAGCGCAAGGCCCUGGGUUUGAUCCCCAUCUCCG
rnacentral:tRNA from 1 species